rnacentral:snoRNA from 1 species
UGGUAAUUACCAAGAUUUUUAGAAUGCAGUGGACAUGACCAUAAAAUAAUUUCCCACUAGAUUUUUUUAUCUGUUACCUUGCUAGCAAGUAGUCUGUUGGGAACAUUU